GAGCUCUUCCCUGGCUCAUUCACCUCUUGCCUUCAUUUGUGAAAGGAAGAAAGACUGGAGAGGGUCAAUGUGCAUCUGAAGCUACUGAUUGUGCUGUGUGAUGAGCAUCAAUCCAUGCUUUGAGGGGGAUGAAUCAGCACAGCCCUGCCUGCUCUGCGUUUGGAACAGAAGUUGCAUCCAGAGUUUUUGCAUCAUUCUGGACCAAAAAGCCAUUCCCUCCAUGAUGAAGACCACUGAUGCAGCCUUCCACUACUGUACAGUAAAACAACUACAGAACUAAAUACCAGGUUGGAACGUGUUUAAGAAAAAUGAAACGUCUUUUGAAUUGAAAUGUCUGUUUUGUUAUGGAAAAAUCUUUAGUAUUGUGAAGGAUAAGCAUUUCUGCUUGCCAGUAAGGUAAUUGCAGUGUAUUUUAAUAUUCAAGUUUUGAGUAGGGUGGCUAAUUUUUUUUAACUCUCAUUUGAUUUAUUAAAGACCUUAUAAUAAGUGGUUUUCAUGUCACUGCGCUGUGGUAUAAGAUAACUUUCAUUAUUCCAUACUGUAUUCUGUUUCUAAUUGUAGCUGAGGUAUUUAAAUAAGCAGUGUUAAAUGCAAAGUGUUGUGUGUAUCAAUGUAAAUAUUAAAUGUGAUGUACUUUAAUAAAAAGAGGUUUUGCAAUA